rnacentral:rRNA from 1 species
AGCUCCAAUAGCGUAUAUUAAAGUUGUUGCAGUUAAAAAGCUCGUAGUUGGAUUUGCGUUGAUGGAUGGGUUGUGGUCGUGAGAUUAUGACUCGUUCCAUGAACAUUUUUUGGGAGCAGGGGUUCUUUGGCAUUGAGUUGUUGAAGUUCAACUACCCAUCGUUUACUGUGAAAAAAUUAGAGUGUUUCAAGCAGGGGUUAGUCCUUUGAAUAUAUUAGCAUGGAAUAAUAAGAUACGACUCGUAUGGUCUAUUUUGUUGGUUUGCACAUAUGAGUAAUGAUUAAUAGGGACAGUUGGGGGUAUUCAUAUUUGAGCGUCAGAGGUGAAAUUCUUGGAUCGCUGAAAGAUGAGCUAAGGCGAAAGCAUUUACCAAGGAUGUUUUCAUUAAUCAAGAACGAAA